UUCUAUAGGGGUUUCAAGAUCAGGACUUUGUAUACUUGUUUCUAGGAUUCCGGAUUUGUUGACUCGAAGUUUAGAGCAGUGUCUGAUCCCAAGUUAUGAGAUCCUUAAAACUGUACUUGUUUCUGAUGAGAAAGUAGUUAGGACCCUGAAUCGCAUGGGGAGCAGAUCUUUUUACUCUUUGCAGAAAAGAUUUUCUAACAA
rnacentral:misc_RNA from 1 species